GAUGAAGAACGUAGCGAAAUGCGAUACGUAUGUGAAUUGCAAAUUCAGUGAAUCAUCGAGUCUUUGAACGCACAUUGCGCCCCCUGGUAUUCCGGGGGGCAUGCCUGUCCGAGCGUCAUUGCUGCCCUCAAGCACGGCUUGUGUGUUGGGCCCCGUCCUCCGAUCCCGGGGGACGGGCCCGAAAGGCAGCGGCGGCACCGCGUCCGGUCCUCGAGCGUAUGGGGCUUUGUCACCCGCUCUGUAGGCCCGGCCGGCGCUUGCCGAUCAACCCAAAUUUUUUAUCCAGGUUGACCUCGGAUCAGGUAGGGAUACCCGCUGAACUUAAGCAUAUCAAUAAGCGGAGGA
rnacentral:misc_RNA from 1 species